CAUCCAACCAUACGACCCAUUUCAACCUAAUGAAGAAGUGAUAGCACUGCUCCCAUUCCCGACUUCUCAGUUUUGUCACGUGGAACCAAGCAAGCCUUCGAAGCUCACCCUCUCCUCCGUCUGCACAGUAACUUGCCUUUCGCCGUAAGCGAUAGCAACGGCUACCACUUCCACUUCUGUGCGUUGAACUCAUGACGUCGGCAUCCAUAGCUGUUGCUUCCUUAUCUUAUUCCCGUCCAUGGCUCCCUUCCAGGGACCUCGUCAACGUGUCCUCUAUAGCCUCGGAGCAUCGCGGCGGAAAGUUUGGAGGUUUGCGUUGCUCAUACAUAAAGCUGAAUGAACCGUUUCACCAUUACAGAACAUCAAGGCAUGUGGCCAUUAUUGAAGCUAAAAAGGGUAACCCGCCCGUAAUGCCAGCAGUCAUGACACCAGGAGGACCGCUUGAUCUUUCAUCUAUUUUAUUCCGCAACCGCAUAAUCUUUAUAGGGCAGCCUGUGAAUUCUCAAGUUGCCCAACGUGUUAUAUCUCAGCUCGUAACGCUUGCAGCUGUAGAUGAUAGUGCUGAUAUUCUGAUAUAUUUGAACUGCCCUGGUGGAAGCACUUACUCAAUAUUAGCAAUCUAUGACUGCAUGUCAUGGAUUAAGCCCAAGGUUGGAACUGUAUGCUUUGGAGUAGCUGCGAGCCAGGGAGCGCUGCUUCUUGCUGGAGGUGAAAAGGGAAUGCGUUAUGCCAUGCCAAAUGCUAGAAUUAUGAUACAUCAACCACAAACUGGAUGUGGGGGUCAUGUGGAGGAUGUGAGGCGACAAGUUAAGGAAGCGGUUCAAUCUCGUCAUAAAAUAGAUAAAAUGUAUGCUGCUUUUACCAACCAACCUUUAGAGAAGGUGCAACAGUACACUGAAAGGGAUCGCUUCUUGUCAGUCUCGGAGGCAUUGGAAUUCGGACUCAUUGAUGGAGUCUUGGAAACAGAAUACUGAUUACAGUUCAUGAAGAUGAAUCUCUCAAUAGUUACUUUCAUCUCAUAAUACUAAGGUGCGCGUUUCAGGAUGAAUGGAUAUGAAUGAAUUUAUCACCAAAUUUGAUUUUUGUUCAUGGUAUCAGAGCAAGGUUUCUGGUGAUACUGAAUUUCUUCACCAUGGUUGGAGUUAUCUCAUGCAAACUUAUCUACCAUAAGAGGUUUUGUACCUGUAAGCUCUAUGAAUGGGUCAUCAAACUCUUUUACAUAGUUGUGCCAAUCCUUGCAAACAAGAGCAAAAAAUUAACUGAAGAACUUGAGAAAUUGCAAAGUUAUAUUAUUAUGGCUUGCCUUAA